rnacentral:rRNA from 1 species
AGAGCAUAGGGGGGAUGCCUUGGCGACAGGAACCGACGAAGGACGUGGUUAACUGCGAAAAGCUGUGGUGAGCUGUAAACAAGCUUUGACCCACAGAUAUCCGAAUGGGGAAACCCGGUGGCAGUAAUGUGCCAUCACUGUAUAGUGAAUACAUAGCUAUAUGGAGGGAACCCGGUGAACUGAAACAUCUAAGUAACCGGAGGAAGAGAAAGUAAUAACGAUUUCCUGAGUAGUGGCGAGCGAAACGGAAAGAGGCCAAACCAAUUGUCUUCGGACGAUUGGGGUUGUGGACUGAUAUAAUUGGAUAAAUUCUUAGCUGAAUACUUCUGGAAAGUAGAGCCGAAGAUAGUGAAAGCCUAGUAAAGCGAAAAGAAUUUUGACAUGUUCAGUAUCCAGAGUACUGCCGGACACGUGAAAUCCGGUAGGAAGCCGGGAGGACCAUCUCCCAAGCCUAAAUAUUACCUGUCGACCGAUAGCGUAUAGUACCGUGAGGGAAAGGUGAAAAGUACCCCGGGAGGGGAGUGAAAGAGAACCUGAAACCCUAUGUUUACAAUCGGAGGGAGUACUUGUAAUGUACGACCUCGUACUUUUUGUAGAACGGACCGGCGAGUUAUUGUAUGUAGCAAGGUUAAGGUGUUCAGCACUGGAGCCGAAGUGAAAGCGAAGUCUUAAUAGGGCGUAAAGUUGCAUGCAAUAGACCCGAAACCGAGCGACCUAUCCAUGGUCAGGUUGAAGCGGCGGUAAGACGCUGUGGAGGACCGCACUCACGUCUGUAAAAAGGCGGAGAUGAACUGUGGAUAGCGGAGAAAUUCCAAACGAGCUCGGAGAUAGCUGGUUCUCCUCGAAAUAGCUUUAGGGCUAGCGUCAGAAUUAGAGUAUCGGGGGUAGAGCACUGAAUGGGCUAGGGGGCUUCACAGCUUACUGAACCUUAUCAAACUCCGAAUACCGAAUACUUAUGUCUGGCAGUCAGACUACGGGAGAUAAGUUCCGUGGUCGAAAGGGAAACAGCCCCAGACCUUCAGCUAAGGUCCCAAAGUGUAUACUAAGUGGUAAAGGAUGUGGGAUUGCUAAAACAACCAGGAUGUUGGCUCAGAAGCAGCCAUUCAUUUAAAGAGUGCGUAAUAGCUCACUGGUCGAGUGAUCCUGCGCCGAAGAUGUCCGGGGCUAAAGUAUACCACCGAAGCUAAGGAUGUGCAGCAAUGCACGUGGUAGAGGAGCAUCGUAUAUGGGCAGAAGCAGUAUCGUAAGGCGCUGUGGACUGUAUACGAGAGAGAAUGCCGGUAUGAGUAGCGAGACCAAAGUGAGAAUCUUUGGCGUUCGAAACUAGGUUCCUGGGAAGGUUCGUCCUCCAGGGUAAGUCGGGACCUAAGCCGAGGGCGUAAAGCCGUAGGCGAUGGACAACUGGUUGAAAUUCCAGUACUACCGAAAUGCGUUUGACUGAAGCAGGGACACAGUCGGAUGAGCGAACCCCGUUGCUGGUAGAAUGGGGGCAAAUACCAAGUGGUGUAUGUAGUUAAGUACGCAUACUUUAACCGUGAGGUAUGAUGCGGAUCGAAAAUAAGUAGAGAAGUCGCAUAAUUCACACUGGCGAGAAAAGCUGCUAAGGAGCAUGUAGGUACCCGUACCGCAAACCGACACAGGUAGGUGAGGAGAGGAUCCUAAGACGAUCGGGAGAACCCUUGUUAAGGAACUCGGCAAAAUGACCCCGUAACUUCGGGAUAAGGGGAGCCCACAAUUGUGGGCCGCAGAGAAUAGGUGGAAGCGACUGUUUAUCAAAAACACAGGUCUGUGCGAAAUCGAGAGAUGACGUAUACGGGCUGACGCCUGCCCGGUGCAGGAAGGUUAAGAGGAAGUGUGAGAGCUCUGAAUCGAAGCCCCUGUAAACGGCGGCCGUAACUAUAACGGUCCUAAGGUAGCGAAAUUCCUUGUCGGAUAAGUACCGACCCGCACGAAUGGCGUAACGAUUUCCACGCUGUCUCAACAAGGGACCCGGCGAAAUUGAAGUACCAGUAAAGAUGCUGGUUACCCGCAGCUGGACGGAAAGACCCCGUAGAGCUUUACUGUAGCCUGAUAUUGGAUUCCGAUGGUAAAUGUACAGGAUAGGUCGGAGACUUGGAAACUAGGACGUCAGUCUUGGUGGAGUCAUCCUUGGGAUACGACCCUUUUACCAUUGUAAUUCUAACUACAAGCCGUAAGCCGGAUGUAGAACAGUGUCAGGUGGGCAGUUUGACUGGGGCGGUCGCCUCCAAAAGAGUAACGGAGGCGCUCAAAGGUUCCCUCAGAAUGGUUGGAAAUCAUUCAAA